AGAAAUUACAGAGUUGAGAACACGGGAACCAUAUCUCACUGAAGAUGAAAUAUAAACUGUGGGGGCCAACACUUGGAGGUGAAGCCAUCUUUAAGAACACAUUCCACUGAACGGCUCUGUGCCAGGCACUCAAAGGAGUUGCACCGUGGAAUCCUUUGUCCUCUGGUUCCAGUUGCGUUCAUUCAGUGGAGGGUGGAGUGUGGAAGGUACAAGUACAUGUGGA